GUUCAACCAGACUACGUGUUAACAAAGCAAGAAGCUGUCCCCAGAAACAGGCUUCUCUGACACUUCAACACUGAAAGCUUCAGCAUCCCUCCCUGUCCAGGAACGAGGUUCUGCUUUGGCAGCCGAGCACAGUAAUUUUCCAAAUGAUCGGAGCAAGCAGUGCCUCAUGCAUCCCAGACCAUGUGCUCCACUACGUAACCCAGCCUCUUACUCCAUUACAUGCUGAUAGCAUCGAAGAAGGACAAUAUUGACAAAACUCUGUGCUAACAAGGAUACCAAUGGAUGAGCGCUUUUAUAAACUGAAAUGCAAGCAAGAGGCCCGUAUUGAGGAAAAAGAUGACUGCUCUGACCUUUCUGCUGCUGCCCAGAAGAUGUUAUUUUGUUCCUAAUUCCUGAGUAGCUGCUUUUGGGUGAUUCAGGAUGGGAUGAAGAAGAGAAACACUAUCAGGCUGUCCACUGGAUGGUGGUUUGGGCAACCCAUUGCCGUGGGUACUGAGGAGCCAGAGAGAGUCAAUUGUGGGCAGAAGCAGGCACUGCAUAAACCCUCGUCGUUGAGCAUU
rnacentral:lncRNA from 1 species